rnacentral:lncRNA from 1 species
AUGUACAUUUCUUAACCUCACAAAGUCUUUCAGUACAAUUAUACUUGUGAAAUAGGAAAGGGAAAAUACUAUUCCUGUUUUACAGAUGGGGAACUGAGGCACAGUGAGACUUUACCCAAGGUCACAGAGAAAAGCCACAGCAGGGGCAGAAAUCUUGGUUUCACAAAUUCUGCUCUAGUGCCCUAACUAUGAAACCAUCCUUGUUCUCUACAGAUAGGAGACUGCAAACUAUAAUUUGAAGUUCUUGGAGCUGCUGAUGGGAUGGCUUUUGAAGGAAACCCCUAAUUUUGAUACAGGCAGUCCUCAGACUUACGACACAAUUGGUUCCUGCAAACUGCAUCUUAAGUCGAAAGAUCGUCUUCCGCACCCCACUUUGGACAGCACUGACAUAUGGGAUUAUGAGUUAUCACCAUAAUGAGUUAACAUAGUAAUUAACCAUCUGCUAAUACAAGCAGAACCAGAAAAAUACAGGCCUCAAAUUUCCAAUGAAAACCAUGUAGGUGUCUUUCUGCUCAAGCAAGUGCAGCAGACACCAUCACAUAAAUACACCUGGCAGUGUGUUUGAACAUAAUUAGCUUCACAAAACACUACAGCAAUCUGUUCUAAUCAGCAAGGAAAACAUUAUUAGCUUUUCCUUCAUGGAUUAAGACUGAGUUACAUCAAACACCAGUUUUCAAUCUACGGACCACACACUCCAGGGCAGCAACACAAAGGACAAAACCCAGGAUGAACUGGGCAAAAGCUGAGGGAUAAAGCCAUCAUGGUUGCUGUGAUGCAAGGAGGGAGAGGCCUUCCAGAAGAGAUUAGACAAACGACAAGUCUCAGCUUUAGGAAAUGUUGCAAAACCUGUGCUUAAACCUUUCCACUAUAAUGCUAUACCUGUCACUCCUGCCCUUGACUAAAAGGCAUCAAGAGGAUUAACAAAACGACAGAAAAAAAAAAAGUGCCUCUCCCCUCCAGCCAGAAUUGUUACCUCAGAAAGAAGGAAGAGACAUAGACUCUACUAAGCCCAUAGGGAUCUUAACUAU